rnacentral:rRNA from 1 species
GGGAACCUGCCUCAAAGAGGGGGACAACAGUUGGAAACGACUGCUAAUACCGCAUAAGCCCACAGCUCGGCAUCGAGCAGAGGGAAAAGGAGCAAUCCGCUUUGAGAUGGCCUCGCGUCCGAUUAGCUAGUUGGUGAGGUAACGGCCCACCAAGGCGACGAUCGGUAGCCGGACUGAGAGGUUGAACGGCCACAUUGGGACUGAGACACGGCCCAG